rnacentral:rRNA from 1 species
UACGGGGGGGGCAAGCGUUGUUCUUAAUUACUUUUCUUAAAUAUCUCUUAUUCUUUUUUUUAAUUUUUAUUUUAAAUCUCCAGGCUCAACUUGGAGGGGUCAUUCGAUACUGCCAUGACUAGAGUUCGGUAGGGGAGUGUGGAAUUCCUGGUGGAGCGGUGAAAUGCGCAGAUAUCAGGAGGAACACCCGUAGCGAAGGCGGCACUCUGGGCCGGAACUGACGCUGAGGAGCGAAAGCGUGGGGAGCGAACAGG